GAGAAAGAAAAAGUUUGAGAAACAAGAAACAGAGAGAAAGAAAAGAUGAGGAGAGUGAGUUUUUCUCUUCUUUCCCUCUCCCUUCUCCUCUUCUUCCU
rnacentral:ribozyme from 1 species